GGGUUCGUGGUCUAGCUGGUCAUGACGCGGCCCUUACAAGGCCGAGAUCGGCGGUUCGAACCCGCCCGAACCCA
rnacentral:tRNA from 4 species